rnacentral:rRNA from 1 species
UACGGAGGAUGCAAGCGUUAUCCGGAAUGAUUGGGCGUAAAGCGUCCGCAGGUGGCUGUGUAAGUCUGCUGUUAAAUAGUGAGGCUCAACCUCAUAAAGGCAGUGGAAACUACACGGCUAGAGUGCGUUCGGGGCAGAGGGAAUUCCUGGUGUAGCGGUGAAAUGCGUAGAGAUCAGGAAGAACACCGGUGGCGAAAGCGCUCUGCUAGGCAGCAACUGACACUGAGGGACGAAAGCUAGGGGAGCGAAUGGA